rnacentral:rRNA from 1 species
UACGUAGGGUGCGAGCGUUAAUCGGAAUUACUGGGCGUAAAGCGUGCGUAGGCGGUUUCAUAAGCUUGAUGUGAAAGCCCCGGGCUUAACCUGGGAAUGGCAUUGAGGACUGUGGAGCUAGAGUGCGGCAGAGGGAGGUGGAAUUCCAGGUGUAGCAGUGAAAUGCGUAGAGAUCUGGAGGAACACCGAUGGCGAAGGCAGCCUCCUGGGCCGACACUGACGCUGAGGGCACGAAAGCGUGGGGAGCAAACAGG